CAGGCUUAACACAUGCAAGUCGAGCGGUAACAUUUCUAGCUUGCUAGAAGAUGACGAGUGGCGGACGGGUGAGUAAUACUUAGGAAUCUGCCCAUUAGUGGGGGACAACAUUCGGAAACGGAUGCUAAUACCGCAUACGCCCUACGGGGGAAAGCGGGGGAUCUUCGGACCUCGCGCUAAUGGAUGAGCCUAAGUCGGAUUAGCUAGUUGGUGAGGUAAAGGCUCACCAAGGCGACGAUCCGUAGCUGGUCUGAGAGGACGAUCAGCCACACUGGGACUGAGACACGGCCCAGACUCCUACGGGAGGCAGCAGUGGGGAAUAUUGCACAAUGGGGGAAACCCUGAUGCAGCCAUGCCGCGUGUGUGAAGAAGGCCUUCGGGUUGUAAAGCACUUUCAGUUGUGAGGAAAGGUGUGUAGUUAAUAACUGCAUACUGUGACGUUAACAACAGAAGAAGCACCGGCUAACUUCGUGCCAGCAGCCGCGGUAAUACGAGGGGUGCAAGCGUUAGUCGGAAUUACUGGGCGUAAAGCGUACGUAGGCGGUUUUAUAAGCAAGAUGUGAAAGCCCAGGGCUCAACCUUGGAACUGCAUUUUGAACUGUAAGACUAGAGUACUGUAGAGGGUGGUGGAAUUUCCAGUGUAGCGGUGAAAUGCGUAGAGAUUGGAAGGAACAUCAGUGGCGAAGGCGGCCACCUGGACAGAUACUGACGCUGAGGUACGAAAGCGUGGGGAGCGAACAGGAUUAGAUACCCUGGUAGUCCACGCCGUAAACGAUGUCAACUAGCCGUUUGUUUCCUAGAGAAGUGAGUGGCGCAGCUAACGCACUAAGUUGACCGCCUGGGGAGUACGGCCGCAAGGUUAAAACUCAAAUGAAUUGACGGGGGCCCGCACAAGCGGUGGAGCAUGUGGUUUAAUUCGAUGCAACGCGAAGAACCUUACCAUCCCUUGACAUCCAGAGAAGCGACUAGAGAUAGACGUGUGCCUUCGGGACUCUGUGACAGUGCUGCAUGGCUGUCGUCAGCUCGUGUUGUGAAAUGUUGGGUUAAGUCCCGCA
rnacentral:rRNA from 1 species